GGGGUGUGCUCAGAGCAGGGGACCUCAAGAAUGGGUCCUCUGUUUAUAACACACCCAACAGAAAUCUGGGAUCAUGAUGUUAAGGGACACAAAACUUGUAGCCUCCCUAUGAACAAAUACCAUACAAGU
rnacentral:snoRNA from 12 species